UACGUAGGGACCAAGCGUUGUUCGGAUUUACUGGGCGUAAAGGGCGCGUAGGCGGCAUGGCAAGUCACUUGUGAAAUCUCCGGGCUUAACUCGGAACGGCCAAGUGAUACUGCUGAGCUAGAGUGCAGAAGGGGCAAUCGGAAUUCUUGGUGUAGCGGUGAAAUGCGUAGAUAUCAAGAGGAACACCUGAGGUGAAGACGGGUUGCUGGGCUGACACUGACGCUGAGGCGCGAAAGCUAGGGGAGCAAACGGG
rnacentral:rRNA from 1 species